rnacentral:rRNA from 1 species
GACGAACGCUGGCGGCGUGCUUAACACAUGCAAGUCGAACGGAAAGGCCCUGCUUUUGUGGGGUGCUCGAGUGGCGAUCGGGUGAGUAACACGUGAGUAACCUGCCCUUGACUUUGGGAUAACUUCAGGAAACUGGGGCUAAUACCGGAUAGGAGCUCCUGCUGCAUGGUGGGGGUUGGAAAGUUUCGGCGGUUGGGAUGGACUCGCGGCUUAUCAGCUUGUUGGUGGGGUAGUGGCUUACCAAGGCUUUGACGGGUAGCCGGCCUGGGAGGGUGACCGGCCACAUUGGGACUGAGAUACGGCCCAGACUCCUACGGGAGGCAGCAGUGGGGAAUAUUGCACAAUGGGCGGAAGCCUGAUGCAGCAACGCCGCGUGCGGGAUGACGGCCUUCGGGUUGUAAACCGCUUUCGCCUGUGACGAAGCGUGAGUGACGGUAAUGGGUAAAGAAGCACCGGCUAACUACGUG